UUUUUGCAGCUUUGGUUCGGAUACGACUUCAUUUUCUCCAUCAGUGAUGGGAGAGAAGACAUUUGCGGCCCACAGUGGGUGGGAUGACUGUGCGCCGUCAAUCAAUGGGAACCAAUAUGGCAACAGCAAGCUAAAUCAGCUGACAGUGCAUGGUGUAAUCUCAGCCACCGGCCUCAAGGCUCUCUACACCCAGCCACUUACCACCCAGGUUGGUGGGCUUGUCGAUAAGUGAGGCGACCACUAGGAGGGCGCCGUGGAGCUUGCCGAGGCGUGCUGCCCUCUGCUGGGAUGCCAGCUGCAGGUCCGGGUCCUGCUCCUGGAUGCCGGCUCUCCAGGGCGUGAUUUUUUUCUGCACUUCUGCCCAGCGCUCGUCCCGCUCCGUCUCACCUGAAAUUCACAAAGGCACCUUCUACUCACUCGCAGGAUGCGGCAGUUCCUGUCCAAUCCUGUCCUGUCCUAACCCACAGGCGACAUGUUUUUCACUGCUCAUAUCUGUAAGUGCUUCUUGCUUAAUAAUAAUAAUAAUAAUAAUAAUAAUAAUCGAUACUUUUAUUGUCCCCGUAGGGAAAUUGUCUUUACGCCUCCCACAACUUCCUCUUUUUUCAUAGAGGAAGUUGUCUGCGAAGGGCUGCCACCCGUAGCGGUGCCCAGGGAGCUGGGAGUUAAGGGCCUUGCUCAAGGACCCACAGUCUGAGGCAGGGUUUGAACCUGCGACCUUCUGAUUACAGGCACACAGGCUUAGCCCACAGAGCCACACGCUGCUUAGCCGUGUCCCUAACUUACUGACAAAAAGUAAAACGUCUACAUUUGUUCAAUAAGACACAAUGGCUUCAAUGCAAACAUUACCAGCUAAAUGAGUUUCUGUACUGCCCCUGUAGUACAGAACAGGGACAAUGAUGCAUAUAAACACAAAUCACUGAGAGUGGACACAUGAUGCCACCUAGUGGUUGGAAGUGGGUACUGCACCUUUAUCCAGCUGGACCCAGUCGCCUGGUUGCAGCUGGCUCAGGUCCUGGCGGGAAUUCUGUAAGGAUGGAGUAGAAUCCCGGGGGAAUUCCACCAGUGUCUCAAUUUUCCAGCUGAUCCCGAGCUGACACUACACCGCCUGAACCCUCACCUGGACUCCUUGGAGAUAAUUACAUGGAACCUUAUUAGACUUUUAAAACUAUAUGGACUGAAAUUAAUGUCAACGUCAAUA